GGGCUGGGGGGGGAUAUUGGGGUCCUAGGGGGGGAUUUGGGGCUGCUAUGGGGACAUGGAUGGCCAUGGGGCAGCCCAGCGGGUGCUGUGAGUCAUGGGGGGAUGUUUGUGGGGUUAUUGGGUGCUAAUGGGGGAUAUCGGAGGUUCUUGGGGUUCCAUUGGGAUUAUUGGGGUUCUUGAGGUUCCAUUGGGUUCUAUCGGGGUUAUUGGGGUUUUGGGGUUUCAUGUGGUUCCAUGUGUCUCCACGGGGCUGCAGUGCAGACGUGCCCCAGGCUGCACCUGAGCCUGGAGAGCGGUUCUGGUGGGAUUUAUGGGGUGCCAGUGGAGUUCUUGGGGCUCCAUUGGGAUUAUUGGGGUUCCAUGGGGUUCCAUUGGGGUUCUUGGGGUUCCAUUGGGAUUAUUGGGGUUCUUGGGGUUGUAUUGGGUUCCAUUGGUGUUAUUGGUGUUCCAUGGGUUCCAUUGGUGUUAUUGGGGUUCCAUUGGGAUUAUUGGGGUUCCAUGGGGUUGCAUUGGGUUCCAUUGGUGUUACUGGGGUUCCAUGGGCUCCAUUGGUGUUACUGGGGUUUCUGUGCCCCCCGGCUGCAGUGCGGACGUGCCCCAAGCUGCACCUGAGCCUGGAGAGUGGUUCUAUUGGGAUUUAUGGGGUUCCAUUGGGUUCUAUUGGUGUUAUUGGGUUUCCAUUUGGGUUCCAUUGGAUUCCACGGGUUCCACAGGGUUCCUUGUGUCUCCAUGGGGCUGCAGUGCGGACGUGCCCCAAGCUGCACCUGAGCCUGGAGAACGGUUCCGUUGGGAUUUAUUAGGGUUCCAAUGGGUUCCAUUGGGUUCUAUUGGUGUUAUUGGGUUUCCAUUGGGGUUCUUGGGGUUCCAUUGGGGUUCUUGGGGUUCCAUUGGGGUUCUUGGGGUUCCACGUGUCCCUUGUGCCCCCCGGCUGC
rnacentral:lncRNA from 1 species